GUGGCGUCCGUGCCAGCGGCGCGGACGGCGGUGGCGAGCAGCGCCACCGUUGCGGAUGCUCUUACAUGUUGUGGAGAUGUCAGCUACUCCUACUCUAAGAAUUUCUAAGUAUAGUGCUUGAGGUUGUACAAAAUAGGAGUGAGGUCAAAAGGACUCCAAGCAUGAAAAAUCUUCCUCUCCUUUCACCUUCUCCUUUCUUUUUCCCUCGAUCCAGCAGCCACUAGACUCCAAGGAAGGGGCAGCAACAGCAGCUGCAGGAAUCAUCUCCAAACCUGCAAGGAAAAUUCACACACCACAAUUAGAGGAAAUAUGAGCAGCAAAUUUCAAGAAGAAAGAGUAAAGUGGUUAGUAGUGAGGAAAAGAGAUGGUGGCAGCAAGUCCCUGCCAAAGAAAUCAUCACAAAUCAAAUUAGAACAAAGAGGGAUUGGAUAUCUCAAAUCUCUCAAAGAGGAUAUUGGAAACAAAGGAUCAAGUGAUGGUGAGCUCAUCUCCUUAACUCUCCCCAAUGCCUUACACCGAUUAGGCAAGAUGCCCUUUUGUCAUGCUAAAAGGGGAAGGAAUCCAUAGCUAGAAAUACAAGAGCAUCCUUCUCAAUGCUAACACCAAAGGGGUAGUAAAGUUUUUAUCUCAAAUCCAAAAGAUGAGGGAAUUUUUAUCCCAAAUUAGCCACAAAAUGCCAAGGUGUUUUACUAUAAAUACCAGCCCACCACCACCUCCUUCCUCACACCUCUCUAUAUUCACAAUACACUAAGAUGUGUAGCAAGAGAGGAAGGAGUGUCGGUGAGCUUAAGGGCAGUCCGACGUUCGAAGGAGUCAACGAAAAAGAGGUUGAGCGGUGAUGAUGGCGGGCGGUGUUGAGCACAGACAAAUGAAGAUCCUUCGAUAAAAUAGUACUUGGAAGCAUCGUGUCUCUAUACAUGAUGUCAUCUACUCUUUACUCUUCCGCUGCAAGGUAAAAGUCGAGAUUUCAUUCUCUUGUAUCAUGCACUCUGAUUUAUACAUUCCAAGUUAUUUCAGUUCAA